AAAAUAAUUAAUCAAUACGGGCGAUAACCAGGCGUUUUGAAUCACUGCAGUAGUAGAGGAUCUUGUUUUAGCGCUGUUGGGGAUCGCGUAUAACUCGACAAAUAUUUAAUUUUUUUCUUUAAGAAUUUUACUGUGUUUUCUUCCAAAAAUAUGUAUAAAUAUACCUUCAUUUAAAACAAUUGAGACAAAAUUAUUUUUCGUUUUUUUAAUUAUCACAAACCUUUUUUUUUUGGCUGCCACAUUAGGUGUGCCCUUUAAAGAUAUUUUAUAAUCUAUAUUUUUGCAUUAAUUUUUUUAUUAUUUUCACAAUUUUUUUUAUACAAAAAUAUACAUUUAAUAAAUAUUAUUUAUUUUGCAGGUACAUACAUAUAUAAUAUAUAUAUAUAUAUAUAUAUAUGAGACUUCGAUUAAGUUAUCUCAAAUAAAAUUAUCUACCUGUUAAAUACAUAAUUAAAGUUGAAAAUUGCUAUAAAUUGCUUUUUGAGUGUUCUUUAGAAGAAGAAGGAAACACGGAAAUCUCUUUGAAUUUAAAACAUAUCUACAUAUAUACGGAUGUGAAGCAGACAGAUGUUCUAGAAAACCGUAAGUACUUUUUUAUGUAAACAUAUAAAUAAAAGUAAAAAAAAAAAGAUAUUGGAAACAAUUUUCAAAUUAGCUUCUAAUAGACCAAGGAAAUAACUAAAAUAAAACUAAAAAAAAAUAUAAAAAAAAAUCUUAGUAGGAUGAAAUCCAUUCAAACAUAAAAUGACAAAAAUAAAAAGAAAAGUUUACUAUAGUAAACAUAAAUUUUUUUGACAAAAUGCAAUUUUUUUAUUUAAUCGAGUACUCCUUAAGGGUGAUACACAGAUUAUAACGACCCUCUAACUUUUCGAAACAAUUUUUGUACAAUUUGUUCUUUGCUUCAAAAUAGGCCCCAGUUUCGGCGAUCACCGCUUCAUUUGACGAAAAUGUUUUCCCAGCGAGUACUCUUUUGAGAUCUGAGAACAGGAAAUCGUCGCUGGGGUCAGAUCUAAAGAAUAUAUGGAGGAUGUGGAAUCAAUUCGAAGCCCAAUUUAUUGAAUUAUGUCACUGACCUGUGACACGGUGCAUUAGCUUGGUGAAACAGCACUUUCUUUUUCUUCAAAUGCGGUGUUUUGUCCUUCAAACAGUCCAAUAAAGCUAAAUACCAUAUAUAAUUGUCGCUGUUCUGGUUCUUCCUUUGUCAAGUUAGCUAUUAAAAAGUAUUCCAAGCGCUGCCACAAAUUUGGGCCCCGGGCGCAACGUCUUGGGGGCGGCAAAACAAUGUUCGACGGUAUUCGAAAACUCCGAUUUGGGAAAAAAUUCCUGCGAAUUGUGUAAAAAGUGUACAAGAUAUUGAGAUGGGUAUUUUCUAUGGCUUUUAAUAAGAUGUCUCGUAAAUUUACUAUUAAUUUCCUCAGAAACCGUAUUGUGAGAAUUUUAGAAUUUUCAGAAUUUGCGUGGCUUCUAGUUCCUAAAUUUUAUAUACUUAAUAUCGAAGAUAUUUUGUAAAAAUUCACUUUAGUUCGAACCACCUCAUGAAACUUGUAGGUAGGUAGAAAAAAGGGUGCGGCAGAACAUCCUUGGCCCCGGGCGCCCGAAGUUGUAGCUACGCCACUGGUCAUCCAGAAUUAUUUUUUUGGGAUUUUUUUGAUGUUUUC